GAAAGAUUUCUCAAUCUGUGGAGUUCCCUCUCAUGGGAGGUUUGGUUGGUCCCAUCUUUGCUUUUCUUUCUCCUGGCAAGUAAAAGCCAUUUUUAUUUAAGCAAGCCUUUGGCUCUUAAAUUACUGUGGCAGAACAGUUUUAUAAUAGAACAUAUUAUGCUUUUAUCCUUUUUUCUAUGGUUUAAUGUGUUUUAAUUGAGUAUUUUAAUAGAGUUCUUUGUUUAAUGAUCUUUAACUUUGGCAUUAAACAGGUUUUAGCUACACUUUGAUUUUAAUUUGUUGUAAGCCACCACAGGUCCCACAGCAGGAAAAAAACAACAAACCGAAUGACCUUGUGUCCAUGGGGAAUACGUGUCAAGACUUGACGUGGAUAUGUAAAAGCAUAAAUAAUAGUUAACCCUAUUGAAAUGAAGGAUUUCUACCCCAAGAAGGACCUAGAAGAUACUUAGAGAUACAAUGUUGUGUAUGAAGUGGAUAAAUUAAACUGUGGGUAUUGAUCGCAUGAAUAAUACUGUGUUGGUUAAAUAAAAUAACAGUGAAUUAAUAAACAAAUACACGUUGCAUGAGGGCAUAUAAAAAUGUGUUCAUAUCUACCAAGGUGUUCCCACCCUAGUAAUUUACUCUAAAUCAGAGGUGUCAAACUUAUGGCCCUCCAGAUGUUUCAGACUCCAACUCCCAGAAGCCAAUGGCCAGGAAUUCUGGGAGCUGAUGGCCACAAGUUUGACACCCUUGCUCUAGAACAGUGUUUCUCAAACUCUGCCCCUCCAGGUGUUUUGGGCUUCAACUCCCAGAAAUCCUAGCCAUCUUACCAGCUAUUAGGAAUUCUGGGAGCUGAAGUCCAAAACAUCUGGCAGACCAACUACUUUUUGCUGACUCAUGUUUACAGACUAUCUGCAUUAAGAAGAUGCUAAAUCAUUAUUCUCCUAUAUCUUCCUUCUGUUUCUUCUGGGAAUUCACAAAACCUCACUUUUGUGGGGAAAAGAACAGAAUGACGGUGCAAUGCUGGGAGGGACGGAUUGCCUUAGUGCUCCUCUCCCAUCUUUUUGAGAAGGAAUAGCUUUGACAUGUGCAGUGACAUUUCAGGCGGAUGAGUCUUAUCAAGCCUCUUCAAUUUAGCAUAUCUUCACUGCCACAUUUCUACUCAGUGUCAUUUUAUCAGCAUGUUUAUUUUUUAAGGAUGGAAUGCAAUUUUGCUCUUCCAUUUACAGAAUGGCUUUUGAUCCAGCGGAUGCCUCUCCUAAUAGGAGGCGGCAGGGGGAGAUUUUUUUGCCGAUUCUGAUUUCCAGCUGCAGGGCCCCAAAACUGUUCCAGAGAGUUGGAAGUGCCCACAACAGCAUGAGAAGCAUCACAGGAAGUUGCAAGGGAAGGGGGAAUUGGCCCAAAAAAGAAAAUCCCUUUCCCUUUCCUCUUUUCACCCACUCAGCCAAAAUGGAACCUCAGUUCAAAUUAAUUUGAGCUAUUUGUGCAUAUACUUUUUUUAAAAGAUGUUUGUCAACCUGUGGAAACCUCAUGGAUUUCAUCGUGUUUUUUAAGGCAAGGACUACUCAGAAGUAGUUUGCCCUUGUCUACAUCUGAAAUAUAAGCUCUUUUACCUGGUAUUUCUCUGAACUCGCCCAUCCAAGGACUAACUUGGGCUGGCCCCCCUCCCCUUAGCUAUAGAAAAAGGAAUCCUUGUUGUUUAGUGGCAAAAAGGCACACCGUCCAGAGUUUCACAGUUGAAAACUAGAACAUGUGUAGCUGAGCCAAAUGAAGUCAAAAGGGUGUGGCCAGACAAUAAAAAGGCAAACUUUAUUAAUGAGGAACAAGAAACAAGACUCCACCUUUUUUCUUCUCUCCAUCCUUCAAGUAGAAUGAAUCAUAGAAUCAUAGAAUAGUAACGUUGGAAGAAACCUCAUGGGCCAUCCAGUCCAACCCCAUUCUGCCAAGAAGCAGGAAAUCGCAUUCAAAGCACCCCCGACAGAUGGCCAUCCAGCCUCUGCUCAAAGGCCUCCAAAGAAGGAGCCUCCACCACAGGCCGGGGGAGAGUUUCUGUUGUGACUGCGCCUUCGGGGAUUAUGGAUGAUGGUGGUGGGAUUAGAAGAGGAAGGAAAAACCCUCGCGAGGAGGGCUCAUUGGAGGAAUUGCGCAGGAAAUGGAUUAAAGAGUUCAAUGGGGAAUCUUCUGAGGAAGAUUCAGAUGGGGAGUUUGAGGAAGAAAUGGAAGCUGGUGAACAGGUGGUGGCUGGGGAAGUGGGCACUGAAUGGGCACAGCCACCGGAGAUGUCUGGGGAAUUGGGGCCUAUGGAUACUACUGAACCUGGGGUAUCUUCAGGAGCAGAUCCCACUUGGGUCGCUUGGAGAAGGGAGGAUGGUUCUUUAAGUGUGCAUGGGGGUGAGUAUGGGCAGGAUGAUUGGAACUCCGACGAGCAAUUAGGCACGCCUGAUCCACGAGCUCUAGCUGUGUGGAGUUCUGAUUCUGAGUAAGAUCUGGGACACCUGUUGUUUGGGUGUGAGUGUUUGGUCACCCAAGAGGAAGGGGAAUAAAUUGGGAAUGUUUGGUCACUUCACUUUGUGUGUGGCAAGGUGUUGCUGAAGCGCCAUUGGGAUUUCUGUUCAUUCAAGAAGACUGGACUGGGACUUUGCUUCUGAUCUGCUGUUACCAUCGUUGCCUUGGCUCUUUGUGCCAUUUCGUGGACCUGGUUUUGAUGACUGCACCCUUUUGGACCCUGGACUGUAACACGACCUUGCUUCUGUCUUCGCCCUUUGAUGGAUGACUACUCACGGCUCUUGACCACUGGCUUGCCCUCCUGACCCUGCUGCUGUCUCCUGCCCUGACCCUGGAUCACCCUGACGACGCCUCUUCGCCUUUCUUUUGGAGCUCCUGGCAUUAUCUGCAUUGUAGAAGCAGUUUGCUGCAGAUCUAGUUUAUUUGUUCUCAGACCAGUUUGGUGAUUCUUUUGAGAACUGUCUCUUUAAUUCCACAGAGCCGACUGGCUGCAACAGUAAAGGCUUGGACCCAAAGUGCCUUUUGCACCGGCUCUAAGUUUGUUUUUCCUUGGCUUUAUUUUCCUGUUCUGGAUUUUAGCUACUAAUUGUAGCUCUUGGAAGGUUUUUGGAAGGUUCCAAGUCCUAGUUUGUUUUGUCUAUUUUUAUAAGCCAACUCAAUUGUUUUUGAAGCUGAAUUGAAGCAUCUUUUUAGUUUUAUCUAAAUACUUGCGUGGAUAAUCCAGUUGGCUUGCUAAAACAUACUUUUGAUAUAUAUUUGUUUGGACUGCUUUUUAAACACUGAUAGUUAAGUGUUUAAAGCUAUCUUCUGUGUUUAUGUUUACUUUUUGGCCUAUCUCCUGAAUAAACUCUGUUUUGUUUGUUAA